AUGGCAGACUCAGGGGUCAGCAGAAACUUGAUGAUAGCAUAGUGAUCAAGCUUGUUUCUCCCAGGGGCGCUCUUCUGAAGAUAUCUGGGCUGCCUCAGGAGUCACAGUGUCUUGGGCGGCCAGAAGGUGGGUGGAUCUUCUUUUCUUGUGGAUCUUCUUUUUUAUGUGGCUGUGGACACCUUUCAACACUGCCUUUAAAGCCUUUGCUUUGGCUUCUGCUUUAGGAGGGGCAGGAGCUUCCUUCUUCGCUUUUGGCGCCAUCUUGUGAACAGGGUCCAAUUCUGUAUUUUAAUU
rnacentral:lncRNA from 10 species